rnacentral:rRNA from 1 species
CCUACGGGUGGCAGCAGUGGGGAAUAUUGGACAAUGGGGGGAACCCUGAUCCAGCCAUGCCGCGUGUGUGAAGAAGGCCCUCGGGUUGUAAAGCACUUUCAGUGAGGAAGAACGCCUGGUGGUUAAUACCCAUCAGGAAAGACAUCACUCACAGAAGAAGCACCGGCUAACUCCGUGCCAGCAGCCGCGGUAAUACGGAGGGUGCGAGCGUUAAUCGGAAUUACCGGGCGUAAAGCGCGCGUAGGUGGCUUGAUAAGCCGGUUGUGAAAGCCCCGGGCUCAACCUGGGAACGGCAUCCGGAACUGUCAAGCUAGAGUGCAGGAGAGGAAGGUAGAAUUCCCGGUGUAGCGGUGAAAUGCGUAGAGAUCGGGAGGAAUACCAGUGGCGAAGGCGGCCUUCUGGACUGACACUGACACUGAGGUGCGAAAGCGUGGGUAGCAAACAGGAUUAGAUACCCGAGUAGUC